GGAUGACUGGGAUCAGUGGCCUUCAUGUAAAUAUCCCCCGGUGACGCGGGCUCAGAACAAAGAAGAAGUGUAUCUGGCCACACCGUAAUUUGAGGAAACGCAGCGUUGGAAGUCGAUCCACAAGUGGGAACAAAUAUUGAGCAGAAAUGGACAAAGAAAAGAGUAUUUUGAAUGACAGACAACAUAGAGAUGAAGAGUGAUGAUAACAAGGCUAUCCAUCGCUGUCAGACCACACAGUCAGGCUUGCUGCCAUCAUCUCUUCCAAUCCAUCAUAUCUCUGAUUUUGGAAGACUGGAUACUACAGUUGCUAAAUGCCAACUCAGUAUCCGAUAUGAAUGCAAGACUUCUUCUGCAAGACUAGGAAAUGGCUGCAAUUCCUUCACGGGGCAGCAUGGCUCAACCUGAAAGUCGUUGGUUCGAUCCUCGGCCCUCCCGUGACCAUGACGAAGUAUCCCUGGGCAAGAUACUGAACCCCCAGUUGCUCCUGAUGAUCCUCUUGUAGUUGCCGUGGGUCGAUUCCUGGCCAGUACCCCAACACCCAGCCAUUGGAGCUCUACAGUGCCGGUCCCAAGCCGGGAUAAAUGGUAGGCUUGCAUCACUAACAGCAUGUGGUGUAAGAACUAUGCAGAACAAAUCAUGAAAGUGAGUCGCUAUGGCGAUCCCUGAUGGGAGAAGCUGAAAGACAACUACAACUACAGUCAGUGCUAUGAUUGCCACAUCAUCCUUUCCUGUCUAUGAUUUCCUCCUCUUGUGAAAAAAGUCCAAAUAUUCAGAACUGAAAAGUGAGAACAAAAUAAAAUCAAAGAGACGCACAUUUUGUUCUUUGGCCUCGUGCUAUCCACUAAGAGAUAGCGAUGCUCUGCUUUUGUUGCUGUUGAUUUAUUGUGAAGGCUUGAGUCUGUGUUUUUAUGCGGUUCUAUACAACAAUAUAAGUAACGCCACUGAAGAACACAUCCAUCCAUCCAUUUCCUAUGCUGCUAUCCUAAUUAGG